GACGGAGGGGGCUAGCGUUGUUCGGAAUGACUGGGCGUAAAGGGCGCGUAGGCGGUUUUUUAAGUGAGGCGUGAAAGCCCUGGGCUUAACCCAGGAGGUGCGUUUCAUACUGGGAAACUUGAGUGCGGGAGAGGAAAGUGGAAUUCCUAGUGUAGAGGUGAAAUUCGUAGAUAUUAGGAAGAACACCGGUGGCGAAGGCGGCUUUCUGGCUCGCAACUGACGCUGAGGCGCGAAAGCGUGGGGAGCACACAGG
rnacentral:rRNA from 1 species